AUUAGAUCUAUAAAAUUAUUUUUAUUAUACAUAAAAAUGAUGACAACAGAAAUACAGAAAAUGUGGCUUGGACUCCUUUGGCAAAAGUAUAUGGAAUCUAGAGAUUAGAGGACAUUACAAGGGAAUGCGGCUAUAUCUUAAUACAGAUAAUCAAGGUAACGGAACAAAACCAGACGAAGAAGGAAUUUCAACACAUAUUAAAAGCGGUUCUGAAUUAUUAUCAGUUGCCCAUUUUCACACUUUUGCAAAUUCAARCCGAUGAAUGGGACUGCUUAAUGGUACAAAUGGUACAUGGAAGAUGAGGAUGAUGAAGACGAUAUGCUGUAGAUUUUAAACAGCUGAGGACAAAAAAAAUUACUUUUUAAUGUAGUUAUUCUUA